AUAAAUCAAACAUCUCAAAAUCACUUAAAAACUUUGAUUUUGUGCAAUUGCUUGGAUGAAAGAAUGGUGAAUACAACAAGAAAGUUAAGGCCCUGCACUUCCCAUCCAACUAAAGUUAAGGCCCUACUCUUCCCAACUCCACACACACUUGAACUUAAUUUUCUGCAAAUUCUACCACACAUCAAAUUGAUAUUUUUCAUCUCUUUUCAAUUCUUCAGAUCCACCACAGCAUCACCUUAUCCAAUCCUUAACCAAAACAAUAUAUCUAAAUUUUUUUCCGUUGUAGCUAUAAUUUAUUGCUUUAUCUUAUAUACUUAA